GCCCAGGUGGCGAAAUUGGUAGACGCAAGGGACUUAAAAUCCCUCGGUGGCAACACCGUGCCGGUUCGAUUCCGGCCCUGGGCACCA
rnacentral:tRNA from 14 species